AUGACCUGGGGAGUUCCUCUUUUGGUGUCCUAUCAUAUUGCCUUUUCAUACUGUUCAUGGGGUUCUCAAGGCAAGAAUACUGAAGUGGCUUGCCAUUCCCCUUUGCAGUGGACCACAGACUGGUUCCAAAUAGGAAAAGGAGUAUGUCAAGGCUGUAUAUUGUCACCCUGCUUAUUUAACUUCUAUGCAGAGUACAUCAUGAGGAACGCUGGACUGGAAGAAACACAAGCUGGAAUCAAGAUUGCCAGGAGAAAUAUCAAGAACCUCAGAUAUGCAGAUGAUACCACCCUUAUGGCAGAAAGUGAAGAGGAACUUAAAAGCCUCUUGAUGAAAGUGAAAGAGGAGAGCGAAAAAGUUGGCUUGAAGCUCAACAUUCAGAAAACGAAGAUCAUGGCAUCUGGUCCCAUCACUCCAUGGGAAAUAGAUGGGGAAACAGUGGAAACAGUGUCAGACUUUAUUUUUGGGGGCUCCAAAAUCACUGCAGAUGGUGACUGCAGCCAUGAAAUUAAAAGACGCUUACUCCUUGGAAGAAAAUUUAUGAGCAACCUAGAUAGCAUGUUCAAAGCCAGAGGCAUUACUUUGCCAACUAAUGUCUGUCUAGUCAAGGCUACGGUUUUUCCUGUGGUCAUAUAUGGAUGUGAGAGUUGGACUGGGAAGAAGGCUGAGCACCGAAGAAUUGAUGCUUUUGAACUGUGGUGGUGGAGAAGACUCUUGAGAGUCCCUUGGACUGCAAGGAGAUCCAACCAGUCCAUUCUGAAGGAGAUCAGCCCUGGGAUUUCUUUGGAAGGAAUGAUGCUAAAGCUGAAACUCCAGUACUUUGGCCACCUCAUGCGAAGAGUUGACUCAUUGGAAAAGACUUUGAUGCUGGGAGGGGUUGGGGGCGGGAGGAGAAGGGGACGACAGAGGAUGAGAUGGCUGGAUGGCAUCACUGACUCGAUGGAGACGACUCUGAGUGAACUCCGGUGUUGGUAUUGGACAGGGAGUCCUGGCAUGCUGCGAUUCAUGGGGUCACAAAGAGUCAGACACGACUGA
rnacentral:lncRNA from 1 species